AAUGUCUGUUCCACACUGAAACUUCUUUUAAGUCCUCUUUUCUAUCCCAACAAUUUAAGAGAAUAGUGGCUGAACAAAGAAAAAAAUAACAGCUUUUGUUCAUUUACUUAUUCAUUCAGCAAAUAGUCACUGAGUUCCUUCUAUUUGCAAAGCACUGUGCUGGAUGAUUUGAGGGGAUUUGAAACUGCAGAUGGCUCAGACCAUGGCUCCAAGGAGCUCACCUUCUAGUGGGGAGAAGAAACAGCAUAAAGUGUUGUAUGUGUUCCUUGCUGAAGAUAUGCAAGAGAGUCCAGUCAUUUGAAGAUCUGAGAAUCUUCAAGAAAGGUGAUGGACCAGGGAGCAGCCUCAGGAAAAACUCGAAUCAAGUCUCCCAGUCUGAAGUAAUAACCCUGUUACGCAGAAACUGCCUGGAACAUCAGAGGCUCUGUCAUCCAGGAAAGGAACACCAGCUGUAGCUCCCUUGGGGCCUCUCCUCACCCUUAAGGGUAACCAGGACUGCUUGCCAUUUCCCCACACACGUCAGGCUGUCUCAGACCUCUUUGUCUCUACUCGUGUAUUCCCUCUGCUUGGCUGCUUGGACUGGUGUUUUCCCCUGUGCCACCUGCAAAUUCCUACCCGUCAUCUAAGGCUCAAUUCCUGUCCACCACCCCAGCCCUCAGGCUCCUACAGGACGCACCGACCACCAUUAAAGAAUUUAUCUUGCAACACUAGCAUUAUUUGCGAACUUCUCAA